rnacentral:rRNA from 1 species
AUGGGGAAACCCAGUGUGUUUCGACACACUAUCAUUAACUGAAUCCAUAGGUUAAUGAGGCGAACCGGGGGAACUGAAACAUCUAAGUACCCCGAGGAAAAGAAAUCAACCGAGAUUCCCCCAGUAGCGGCGAGCGAACGGGGAGGAGCCCAGAGCCUGAAUCAGUGUGUGUGUUAGUGGAAGCGUCUGGAAAGGCGCGCGAUACAGGGUGACAGCCCCGUACACAAAAAUGCACAUAUUGUGAGCUCGAUGAGUAGGGCGGGACACGUGGUAUCCUGUCUGAAUAUGGGGGGACCAUCCUCCAAGGCUAAAUACUCCUGACUGACCGAUAGUGAACCAGUACCGUGAGGGAAAGGCGAAAAGAACCCCGGCGAGGGGAGUGAAAAAGAACCUGAAACCGUGUACGUACAAGCAGUGGGAGCCUCUUUAUGGGGUGACUGCGUACCUUUUGUAUAAUGGGUCAGCGACUUAUAUUCUGUAGCAAGGUUAACCGAAUAGGGGAGCCGAAGGGAAACCGAGUCUUAACUGGGCGUUAAGUUGCAGGGUAUAGACCCGAAACCCGGUGAUCUAGCCAUGGGCAGGUUGAAGGUUGGGUAACACUAACUGGAGGACCGAACCGACUAAUGUUGAAAAAUUAGCGGAUGACUUGUGGCUGGGGGUGAAAGGCCAAUCAAACCGGGAGAUAGCUGGUUCUCCCCGAAAGCUAUUUAGGUAGCGCCUCGUGAAUUCAUCUCCGGGGGUAGAGCACUGUUUCGGCAAGGGGGUCAUCCCGACUUACCAACCCGAUGCAAACUGCGAAUACCGGAGAAUGUUAUCACGGGAGACACACGGCGGGUGCUAACGUCCGUCGUGAAGAGGGAAACAACCCAGACCGCCAGCUAAGGUCCCAAAGUCAUGGUUAAGUGGGAAACGAUGUGGGAAGGCCCAGACAGCCAGGAUGUUGGCUUAGAAGCAGCCAUCAUUUAAAGAAAGCGUAAUAGCUCACUGGUCGAGUCGGCCUGCGCGGAAGAUGUAACGGGGCUAAACCAUGCACCGAAGCUGCGGCAGCGACACUAUGUGUUGUUGGGUAGGGGAGCGUUCUGUAAGCCUGUGAAGGUGGCCUGUGAGGGUUGCUGGAGGUAUCAGAAGUGCGAAUGCUGACAUAAGUAACGAUAAAGCGGGUGAAAAGCCCGCUCGCCGGAAGACCAAGGGUUCCUGUCCAACGUUAAUCGGGGCAGGGUGAGUCGACCCCUAAGGCGAGGCCGAAAGGCGUAGUCGAUGGGAAACAGGUUAAUAUUCCUGUACUUGGUGUUACUGCGAAGGGGGGACGGAGAAGGCUAUGUUGGCCGGGCGACGGUUGUCCCGGUUUAAGCGUGUAGGCUGGUUUUCCAGGCAAAUCCGGAAAACCAAGGCUGAGGCGUGAUGACGAGGCACUACGGUGCUGAAGCGACAAAUGCCCUGCUUCCAGGAAAAGCCUCUAAGCAUCAGGUAACAUCAAAUCGUACCCCAAACCGACACAGGUGGUCAGGUAGAGAAUACCAAGGCGCUUGAGAGAACUCGGGUGAAGGAACUAGGCAAAAUGGUGCCGUAACUUCGGGAGAAGGCACGCUGAUAUGUAGGUGAAGCGACUUGCUCGUGGAGCUGAAAUCAGUCGAAGAUACCAGCUGGCUGCAACUGUUUAUUAAAAACACAGCACUGUGCAAACACGAAAGUGGACGUAUACGGUGUGACGCCUGCCCGGUGCCGGAAGGUUAAUUGAUGGGGUUAGCGGUAACGCGAAGCUCUUGAUCGAAGCCCCGGUAAACGGCGGCCGUAACUAUAACGGUCCUAAGGUAGCGAAAUUCCUUGUCGGGUAAGUUCCGACCUGCACGAAUGGCGUAAUGAUGGCCAGGCUGUCUCCACCCGAGACUCAGUGAAAUUGAACUCGCUGUGAAGAUGCAGUGUACCCGCGGCAAGACGGAAAGACCCCGUGAACCUUUACUAUAGCUUGACACUGAACAUUGAGCCUUGAUGUGUAGGAUAGGUGGGAGGCUUUGAAGUGUGGACGCCAGUCUGCAUGGAGCCGACCUUGAAAUACCACCCUUUAAUGUUUGAUGUUCUAACGUUGGCCCGUAAUCCGGGUUGCGGACAGUGUCUGGUGGGUAGUUUGACUGGGGCGGUCUCCUCCUAAAGAGUAACGGAGGAGCACGAAGGUUGGCUAAUCCUGGUCGGACAUCAGGAGGUUAGUGCAAUGGCAUAAGCCAGCUUGACUGCGAGCGUGACGGCGCGAGCAGGUGCGAAAGCAGGUCAUAGUGAUCCGGUGGUUCUGAAUGGAAGGGCCAUCGCUCAACGGAUAAAAGGUACUCCGGGGAUAACAGGCUGAUACCGCCCAAGAGUUCAUAUCGACGGCGGUGUUUGGCACCUCGAUGUCGGCUCAUCACAUCCUGGGGCUGAAGUAGGUCCCAAGGGUAUGGCUGUUCGCCAUUUAAAGUGGUACGCGAGCUGGGUUUAGAACGUCGUGAGACAGUUCGGUCCCUAUCUGCCGUGGGCGCUGGAGAACUGAGGGGGGCUGCUCCUAGUACGAGAGGACCGGAGUGGACGCAUCACUGGUGUUCGGGUUGUCAUGCCAAUGGCACUGCCCGGUAGCUAAAUGCGGAAGAGAUAAGUGCUGAAAGCAUCUAAGCACGAAACUUGCCCCGAGAUGAGUUCUCCCUGAGACUUAGAGUCUCCUGAAGGAACGUUGAAGACGACGACGUUGAUAGGCCGGGUGUGUAAGCGCAGCGAUGCGUUGAGCUAACCGGUACUAAUGAACCGUGAGGCUUAACCUU